rnacentral:rRNA from 1 species
GAAUUUUGCGCAAUGGGCGAAAGCCUGACGCAGCAACGCCGCGUGAGGGAUGAAAUCCUUCGGGAUGUAAACCUCAUAAAUGUGGGAAGAACAAAAUGACGGUACCACAUGUAAGCCCCGGCUAACUCCGUGCCAGCAGCCGCGGUAAUACGGGGGGGGCAAGCGUUGUUCGGAAUUACUGGGCAUAAAGGGCGCGUAGGCGGCUUAUCAAGUCGGGCGUGAAAUCUCCGGGCUUAACCUGGAAAAGUCGUUCGAUACUGUUGAGCUAGAGUGUGGAAGAGGCAACUAGAAUUCCGUGUGUAGCGGUGAAAUGCGUAGAUAUACGGAGGAAUACCUGAGGCGAAGGCGGGUUGCUGGGCCAACACUGACGCUGAGGCGCGAAAGCCAGGGGAGCAAACGGG